GUUCCUAUGGUCUAGUGGUUAUGACGCUUCGUUGUGGAAUUUGUAACCAAAUCCGAAGCAGCCCGUGUUCGAUUCACGGUGGGGACA